rnacentral:misc_RNA from 1 species
AGUUAAACAGUACGUGAAAUUGUUGAAAGGGAAACGAUUGAAGUCAGUCGUGCUGGCGCGAAAUCAACCCUCUCGUCGAGAGGUCACAUGGCGUGGCGAGCCUCAAAACCGUCACGAAGCGUGAACUCUUGGCGAAAAGGAGCACUUUCGUGUCCGCUGGUUAACAUCAAUUUCGAACGUCAUAAAAAGGCUGGAGGGAUGUGGCUCCUUCGGGAGUGUUAUAACCUUUAGCGGAAUGUGGUGGUCGGGAUUGAGGAUUGCAACGAAUACCUUUAGGGCUGUUCCACCUGGCUUCUCUUUGGUAUCCUGGUGACGACAGCUUGCUGACUUCGUUAGGAUUCGCCUUUGAACAGGCUAGAGUGUGAGCAAAUUCGUUAAGGAUGUUAACGUAAUGGCUUUAAA